SACAUGACUCUCGGCAACGGAUAUCUCGGCUCUCGCAUCGAUGAAGAACGUAGCAAAAUGCGAUACCUGGUGUGAAUUGCAGA
rnacentral:rRNA from 1 species